GCAUGCGUAGUUCUGCUCAGCCCAUCACUUCCUGGGAAGUGCUAGGCCUAGCAGCAACAAAUGGGACGGAAAAUGUGCAACAUCUCACACCCCAGCCCUUAGUCGCACCAAUGGUAGGAGCCGAGGAUAAAAGAAGACAUUGGUCUCAGCCACAUCCAUGGAGGUAACCAGCUGUCGGACGUAGGCACGGUCAUCAGUAGUGACUUCAGCUCCAGGCUGCAGGACAUCACUCUUCAACACACAGUUCAGUAAUCUACAGUGGCCAAGAAUUCAUAAGAGCCCAACGAUAGCUCAGGACGGUCAUAAGCAUCCACACGUUUGCCGGUAUUUAUGACACUGAUCCUCCCCAUCCCUGGAUAUCUGUGACAUCUACCAGUGUCUCAACUAGAUGCCAUGCUACAGAUAAGAGACCAGCAGCUAAAUGUCUAACCAUCCCCACUGAGAUCCAGAGAGAGAGAACACAGAGCAAGACAGAGAAGCAAGAUGUAAAGUGAGCCAGUUAUAGAGAAAUCCACUCUAAAUUCAUUAAGCCAGGCAUAAACAGACUUUCCUGCCAAAGCCUGGCAGAGCAGCUGACAAGUUCUCUCUCUCUCUUUUCUUGCUGAUUUCAGGUAUUGAGGUGAAAAAUCAGGGCCCAAGCCAGAUAAGAGAAGGACUAUUGGACCCUGAUCUACCUUUUUCCCUUAUAUGAUUUCCUAACAUUCCCUAACUCACCAGGGAUGUUAGGACAGUAUAGAAUAAAAAUAGAAUAAUGUACCUGUAAUCAUCUGGAGAUGACCGUAAGGCUUCUGCAUUCAGCUGUCUCCUCCCCUACAAGUUGGCCCUGCCUCUUUUCAGUUUAUUUCCCAUAUGGACCAUGCUCCCACCCAACAACUUCUUGGGCUUUUACUCUCAUCACAACCACACCCAUCAGGCAUGGGCCCUUGGGUAGAAAGCUAUUGAGAUACUCUCCCUUCCUGCCCAACCAGGACUUCUU